AAGUCGUAACAAGGUUUCCGUAGGAGUUACAUCCACGUCAUAAACCGGCAAUCUCUGGUAAAUCAUCGCCGAACAGUUUUAUUCAGAGACCUCUGGGAAGGGUAUACGGUGACCUGGCAUUCCUCUGCUUGUUAGUGUCUGAAAGUGUCACUAGCUAUGUCCGACACGGCCGGCGACCAGGUCACUGCGGCCCCCCUGAUCACAACCUUUGCAUGAAAACGGGCCUGCGCUGAGGCGGCCACCCCUAAUGCUUGAACAACUGUUAUAUCUUGGUUCUC
rnacentral:misc_RNA from 1 species